GAUGAACGCUGGCGGCGUGCCUAAUACAUGCAAGUCGAGCGAACAGACGAGGAGCUUGCCCCUUUGACGUUAGCGGCGGACAGGUGAGUAACACGUGGGUAACCCACCUAUAAGACUGGGAUACCUUAGGGAAACCCGACCUCAUACCGGACAAUAUUUCUAACCGCAUGGUUCGAUAAUGAAAGAUGGCUUUGCUAUCACUUAUAGAUUGACCUGCGCCGUAUUAGCAAGUUGGUAAGCUAACGGCUUACCAAGGCAACGAUAGGUAGCCGUCUGGAGAGGGGGAUGGGCAAAACUGGAACGGAGCAACGGUCCAGACUCCUACGGGAGGCACCAGUAGGGAAUCUUCCGAAAUGAGGGAAGUCCGGACGGGGCACCGCCGCUGGGUGGAUGAAGGUCUUCGGAUCGAAAGAUUCUUUUAUUAGGGAGAAAGGAACGUGUAAGUAACGUUGCACGUCUUGACGGUACCUAAUCAGAAAGCCACGGCUAACUACGUG
rnacentral:rRNA from 1 species